AUGAUCGAGACCAUCCGAGUGGCGUUGAGUUCGAUGGGUGGAGGUGAGAUAUCUGUUUCAGCCUACGACACUGCCUUCAUCGCCCUUGUCAAGAACCUAGACGGAGGUGAUCGGCCACAGUUCCCCUCUAGCAUUGACUGGAUCAUUCAAAACCAGCUACCAGAUGGUUCGUGGGGUGAUGGCUCAUUUUUUCUGGUCCAAGACCGACUUAUGAACACCCUAGCAUGUGUUGUGGCGUUGACGUCAUGGAACCUUUAUGUUGACAAGUGCGAGAAAGGCAUGCAUUUUAUCAAAGAAAAAAUAUGGAGAUUGGCUGAAGAGGAAGAAGAUUGGACGCUAAUCGGCUUCGAAAUUUGCUUCCCCUCGCUCCUAUGCAUGGCCAGGGACAUGGAUCUGGACAUUCCUCACGAUGACCCUGCCUUCGAAGCCAUAUAUUCCAAGAGAAACCAAAAGCUCAAUAAGAUUCCUUCGGAUGUAUUGCACACUAUGCCAACGACUCUACUUCACAGUGUGGAGGGAAUGGCAGACUUGGACUGGGAAAGGCUGCUUCCGUUGCAGUGUUCAGACGGCUCCUUUUUUUCAUCACCCGCAGCCACAGCUCACGCUUUGAAGGAAACAGGCGACCUAAAAUGCCUCAAAUUCCUUGACGAAGUCAUCAAAAAGUUCGAAGGCGGAGCGUCCUGUGUCCAUCCUGUUGAUUUGUUCGAGCGUUUAUGGGCGGUUGAUCGUUUGACGCGUCUGGGGAUAUCAAGGCACUUCACCAGGGAAAUUGAGGAGUGCUUAGAUUAUACUUACCGGUACUGGACUGAAAAUGGGCUGAGCCACACAGGGUCCUGUGCAGCUUCGGAUAUCGACGAUACUGCGAUGGGUUUCCGUCUCCUCCGUUUGCAUGGCUACCAUGUCAAUCCAUGCGUGUUUAAGAAAUUCGAGAAGGACGGCGAAUCCUUCUGCUUCCCAAGGCAGUCGAGCCAAUCUGUCACGGCCAUUUACAACACAUACCGUGCUGCUCAGGUCGCGUUUCCUGGCAAGAAGGACGACGUCCUUCGGCGGGCCGAGCGGUAUUGCCGCACAUUUCUCCAGGAGAGGCGCGCCUCCAACAAACUCAGCGACAAGUGGGUCAUUCCCAAGGAUUUGCCAGGCGAGGUAGGAUACGCAUUGGACUUCCCCUGGAAAGCAAGUUUGCCACGGAUCGAAACAAGGUUGUAUCUAGAGCAAUAUGGAGGCAGCGACGAUGUGUAG
rnacentral:rRNA from 1 species